rnacentral:lncRNA from 1 species
ACUGCCAAGGCAACCUCGCGCGUGAGGCGUCGGGCGACCGAGCGCGCGGGAAGGGCGAGCGCUAUACGCCGCGCGGCUGCCUCGCCCUCUCUCCUGGUGAUAGCCAUUUGGCGUCUUCUGUCUGCUCUCGGUGCCUGGCGAAGCCCGAGUUGGCCCUGAGGCGUCUGCACGGGGAGGCGAGGGCGAGCAUGUUUGUUGUUUACCAAGAAUUGGAAAAAUAAGGGCCCGGACUCUUCGGACUCUCUGUACGGUAUUGGGGUGUGGGAGCCACCUCCUCCCCUGAAGGUCCCAGGAUACUCGCUGCCCGCACCCUGCGGGCUCGGCCGGACAUUCCUCGGAAACAGCUGCGUCUGUGUGAGAAAUGAGCGGAUUACCUGAGGCGUGGAGGGGUUUAGAGACAGCAUUUUGCCAGUCCACGACACUGAAGCGGGGCAAACGUGGGAACUCCUUACUGCCAGAAAGGUGAGGGAAUGAGGAGAUGCAGCAAGCCUGCUGAAAAGGCGGCAGACAUGCUGCGGGGCCAGCAGCCACGGGACCAGCAGCCACGCAGUCUGCCUUCGCAGCGUAGCUUCAUUCAUUCAUGCGCGUAGCAAAUAAGUAUUCAAUGCUCACCCUAUGCCAUUGUUCUGGGCGUCAAUGAAGGGAGUAUAAACAGCACCUGCUCCCAUGGAUUUGGAAGGAAUCUUUGCUACAAUAGCUAAUGAAGAUUGACUUGUGCUUCCUCAAGCUACUCUAUAACUUGUAUGCCCAUUGAUUUUAAUUGCAUUUAAGAUUCUGCAGUGCACUUAGUGGAUGUGCAAACGUUUUAAACAUAAAAUAGAGGUCACAGCCUAUUGACCUCUGUUCCCGUUUGCUUCUUUGGAAAAGUUUUUAGUUUUGUUGCUAUCUUGGGAUCAAAAAUAGUGUCCCCUCUUUUCUUAAUGUGCUUAUAAAUUAAUAUAAGUUCCCUUUUAUUGAUUUUCCAUUUCAAACAUAAAUGUUAACCAACAAGUAACAGUUUACACAUAGAUGUCUGUAUGCUGCUCUUUCUAGUCACAUCCAUUUAGCUAUAACAUGAUGAAGUCUAAUUAAUUGAAGCUUCAAUAAAUGGAAGGACCAGCUUAAAGUAAAAUAAGCCUGUGAAAAAUCUUGGCACAAUUGAAAUUUCAUAAAUAUCUGUGAAAGAUAAUUAGGCAUCUUAAAGUGAAAAGUCUUCAUUAUGAACUUAUUAAUGAAGAUGGAUGUUUUUGAAGUUUGAAAGAAUUCUUGUCUUAAGGUAGGGGUGUCCCCAAGGAGAGGGUAAAUUAUUACCUGUCAAAGGAUAUGACAAGAAAGUACUUACUGGUGAAUUUUCUGUGUUCGAAAGCCUGGCUCUGUAGAACUAGAAAUUGGUAUUGUAAGCCCAACAGUGGGUUCAUUUUUUAGAGUAGUCUCAAAUUUAUAAAUCUCAAAAAAAAGGAACUGUGUAAACUAGAAUAACAAUUUACUGAUUUUCAAGUAAGAAAUACGACAUGCAUUUAAUUCAAACUCAUGCAAAUAUUUAUGAAGCACCUAUGUCCAGGACACUGUGCUAUGUGUUGAAAAUUUGGAGUUCAAAUUUAUCAAGAAAGAUAUAUAUUGAAAAAGUAAAAGUAGGAUGGGUGUUAAGAAAGAGGAAGUAUGGGAGCUUGUAGAAGCACGCACGAGGUUUAUAACCUAGGUUAGAUGGUCAGGAAGAUCUCCAAAAUGAUUUUAUCUUAAGGGAAUGAGAAAUUAUUAAAAAGGCUUUAAAUAGGAAAUUAGCAUGAUCAGAUUUGUCGGCUAGAAUAUUUGUGUAAUCGGAAAGGGUAAUGUUUCAAGAAGUGUAUUAAUGUCACUUUCUGGGUAUACAACUUAAUCAAUCCAAGGCACCUUUCUGCUGAGGAUUUGGAUUCUUGUAUAAAAAAUACAAAAGAAAUAUUUACUUUUUAACUUUCGAUAUUAAAUAUAGGAUUUUUUAAAUCGAGUUUUUAGGCUUCAAAUCGAGGCAUUGUCAAGACAUAAAAUGUAAAUUUGUUUAUGGUUCAACAUAUCAAGGCUAGGCCUGGUGGACCAAAUGAUAGGGUUUCUCCCAUAGUAAAGACAAGGUAUCUUAGUCCAGUAUGAAGGAUUUAGUCAGAGAUUGAUAUAAGGAAGGUGGUGGCUAUGAAGUAGGUAAAGUAGAAGAAAAUCCUAUUCUCUUUGGCUUGGAGAAUUACGGGAAAGGGGUAGAAGAGCUCAAGAAAGACACCAGAAACAUUUUUACUGUUCCCACCCUGAAGAUGUAGGGUGAGGGGUUGUGGCUUUAGAAAUAUCCAGAUUGGUGUGGGAAAACUCAAGGACAGAGAAAUUACUUUCCCAAUUCUCAGAUAUCUGGGAAGAUAUCAGGCUGAGCAGGAACCACAUUCCAGUAACCUUGAACAGGGCGGAGACAGGGUAGGCAUUGACUUUCCAGAGUGCUGUAAGUUUCUAUGUACUGUUGAGACUCAGAAAACAAUACUCCCCUCCUCCCCAAAAAAAAAAAAAAAAAAAAAAAAAAAAAAAAAAAAAAACCUCAGAAGUAAAAGUUUUUCCUCUCAUCUUCUGACCUUCAGCCUCUCAGUCUCAUUUUCCCCUGAGGCUAGCUAUAAGAAACUAGAAUCCCUGUUCCCCAACGUGGGUUAUAGAAACCACAAUUCCUUUUCCCCAAAGCCAGCCAUAAAAUCUGAAAAUAUUACUCUAAUUUUUCUUCUGCUUUUCUGUGUAAAAACUGGCCAUAAAGAAAUUAUCUUACCUACCUUGUUUAACUGAAGGUCAUAAGAUCCUCAUUCCAGAGAGGGCCCUGCCACAUAGCCAAAAGGAAGAAGUGCAUGCUCAGACAGGUCAAGAAGAAUCUAGACAGACAGGCCUUUCUGGGUUUCCCUACUCAAUCUAUUAGUAUUAGGUCAUAUCCCUUUUGUCCAGUCAUAUUUCUUCAUGACUGUUCAUACCUUGUUGAACCUAAGGAUUAAAAUGGUCAAUUUUCCCUGUGUCUUUGGUCUUCAUUCUGAAGGCUUAUGUUGGAAAUGUGGUGUUCAAAUUUCAUGUAAAG